GACGAACGCUGGCGGCGUGCUUAACACAUGCAAGUCGAACGGUGAACCUCUUCGGAGGGGAUCAGUGGCGAACGGGUGAGUAACACGUGGGCAACCUGCCCCCGGCUCUGGGAUAACUCCAAGAAAUUGGGGCUAAUACCGGAUGUUCACCGCUUCCCGCAUGGGUGGUGGUGGAAAGGGUUUCCGGCUGGGGAUGGGCCCGCGGCCUAUCAGCUUGUUGGUGGGGUAGUGGCCUACCAAGGCGACGACGGGUAGCCGGCCUGAGAGGGUGACCGGCCACACUGGGACUGAGACACGGCCCAGACUCCUACGGGAGGCAGCAGUGGGGAAUAUUGCGCAAUGGGCGGAAGCCUAACGCAGCGACGCCGCGUGGGGGAUGACGGCCUUCGGGUUGUAAACCUCUUUCAGCAGGGACGAAGCGCAAGUGACGGUACCUGCAGAAGAAGCACCGGCCAACUACGUG
rnacentral:rRNA from 1 species